CAGGGAAGUGUGAACAUUUAAAAGACCAUGCUUUUAUAAAGCCCAAAUAAUGUAAACUUACAAUAAAAACCCAUUUUUCCUCUUUUGAAACUCUUCAUAUUGCUAAUAAAGUGUUAAAAACAGUCUCAUUUAUGUCAUCCAAUAUGAAAGGCAUCAAAGAAGACCUGCAUUUUCUCCGGAUUACAGUAAAAACUCUCUUCCGUGUAUCAGAUCGCCUCCCUCCUCUCCUGUCCUUCCCCCACCUUUCCCUUUCCUCUCUACAGUAAGAGUUAAAGGCACACAGGAUGUGAUGGAAUGGAAUUGAAUAACCCUACUAGGCACCAGCUGUAUUGAGAAGUGUGCAAAUUAUUCCAAGAGCUGCUUGGGCACAGGGAGUGAGCUCAUUCCACAGUGCCAAGCAGACAGCCUGGCACAUAGUAGGUACUCAAAAACAACUUCUGAAGGAACUGAAUGACUCAGGGACAUCUGUUUCCUUCCCUCCUGCUGGAGUUUUCACGCUGAUGGAUAUAGUCAUAAUUAAGCUAUAAUAUCAUAAAAGGUAGUGAUUCAAGAGACAAGUACUACAAGAGAGCUACAAAUGAAGUGAUGUGGGAUUUCAAAGAAGGAGAGAGUUCAGAGGGCUUUGGAGCAGAAGAGGUAUUUGCUCUGAAUAUUGAAAAGGUGGCAGAAUUUGAACACAUUCAUAUAAGAGAGUGGAUAAAGGCAUUCCAGGAAGAGGAGAGAGCAAAAAUAGAAAGAAUGUGCCAAGGCAGGAAAGUGAGAAAUCAUGGUGCUCCUACCAAGUAGUAGACUUUGACCUGAAGGGGCAAAACGGGAAAUAGAUUGGAAAUGCAGCCUGAGGCCAGCUCUUGGGAGAUCCAAAAAGCCAACUUACAGAAUUUGGAUUUUGUAGGCAAAACGGAGACACGGAGCAGCAACAAGAUACAGAACUUCAGUAAUAUCUAUCUGGCUACAAGAUGUAAACUUGAUUAGAAGUGGGGAGGGACAGAGACCAGGGAGAAGACUACUAUAAGUGGAACAAUGAAAAUGGAAUGUAGUGUGGAAUGCCAGAGAGCACGGAAUGGCUGGACCACAGCCUCGCAGCACAGGCGAGGAGGGGGAGUCAGUGAGGAUGGGAAGGUUUUGAGUCUGGGUAUCAGAAGAUGGAGUAUAUUUAGUGGAAAACUGAUAAUCGGUUUUGAAUCACAUGAGUAUCAGAUGACGACUGGACGGCCAGAGUAAAGGACAAAAUACAAAAGUAGAAAUGGGGCAUGUGGUGGGACAGGGAAUGGGGUUGAAAAAAAAAUUUGAGAAAAGGCAAGAAAAUGGAAAAUCAUACAAUUUUUAUGAUAAAGAUAAUAGUUUAUAAUGUGUCUGCAGAGCCCAAAGAAAGAAAAAUGCCUUAUAAUAAGUGGGAAGAUACACUCCAAGAAGCAGGCCACUUAAAACACAAUAUGUAUUGUGAAAGUUGGAGCAACACAUCUUAGAGGAUGCUGUGUUGUCAUGAAGCCUCCUUUCCUAUUAACCAAGAACAUGCCUUCCUCUGCAUCCUCAUCAAAAUUCUUGGUCACAAAAGCUGGGUAAAUGAUUGAUGAGAAAGAAACUGGUGGUUGAUGGAAAUCAAAGGAAGAAGGCAGGGGCUUCUUCAGCAAUAAAUCAAGAGUGAAAGAACACGAAAUAAACCAUGUAAUUACACUUUUAAGUGACACCAGCACAGGAAUGCAAGAGAGCAAGGCAUGAGUACUCAUGGAGUUGCAUUGAUUCACUGACAUUCUUUCACCUUGUUUAGUGCCCUUUUUGAAUGACCAACAGCAUAUAUGGCUCAUGAUAUCAGGCUGGGAUUAGAAGAGCAAACUGCCAUUUGACAUAAUAAAUAAGCUAAGAAGUUCUCGUGAAUUACACAGAGACGAUGAAUAAAAUCUCUAUGUAUAA
rnacentral:lncRNA from 1 species